GGAGCUGUGCCUGAAGUAAAGGGCCACUUUGAUAGAGUGAACUCAUGGGGGUUAAAGUUCUCUCUGGCUCCU
rnacentral:tRNA from 1 species